GAUGCCCAGAUUACUAGGGCUUAUGCUGACCUCUUCAAUUGUGACAUAGGUCAAUUCCCUCUUAAGUAUUUGGGUAUGCCGGUUAGCUUCAUAGCUCUUAGAAACUCUGACUGGGAAUUCAUUGUCGACAAAUACCUUCUUAGGUUUGAUGCAUGGGUUGGUAAUGCUGCCUCUAUGGGAGGGAGACAUACCAUGUUAGACUCGGUAGUCACACAACUAUCGCUCUACCACAUGUCUAUGUGGCUGAUGAACAAAACCUUCGUGGAAAGGUUAGAUAAGCAUAGGAGGAGAUUCUUCUGGCAGGGGUGCAACAAGAAACAAAGAUACCACCUGAUCAGAUGGAAUAGAAUUUGUAGAUCUAAAGAUAAGGGUGGACUGGGAGUUAAAGAUUUACGCAAAUAGAAUAUUAGCCUUAUGCUUAAGUGGUGGUGGAAAUUAGACACCCAGAAUGGGAUCUGGCAAGAUAUUGUCAGGGCUAGAUAUUUGCGUGAUCAAAAUGUUGCGAUUGUGAGGCCUCAUUUUUCUGACUCACCCUGCUGGAAAAAUCUGCUGAAGAUUAAGAACUUGUAUAUGAUAGGCAGGAAAAUCCAAGUGGGGGCCGGCAAUCUGACCAGGCUUUGGAAAGAUUCUAUCAAUGGGCUAGCCCCUUUUCAUGAACAAUUCCCUCGUCUGUUUGACAUCUGUGUCGAUCAGAAUUGCACUCUGGAUAAACUGGGGUCUGUAGUUUGUUCCAACUUCUUUCGUAGAAGAUUGGACGCUGAUCUUAUGGAACAAUGGGCUAAUCUUCGUGAUCAGGUCCGCGGCAUGCGCCUGUCAGACACCCCUGACUCCGUGUACUGGGGCCUGAACAAAAUGGGCAAGUAUACUACUAAGUCUAUGUAUAAGUGGCGGACAAACCCCUUAGUGGAUGCAACUAUAGAUGGAUUUGGAAUGCUAAGAUUCCGCUUAAAAUCCAGAUCUUCCUCUGGCAACUUUCGCAAGAUGCUGUUCUGA
rnacentral:rRNA from 1 species